rnacentral:rRNA from 1 species
UGGGGAAUUUUCCGCAAUGGGCGAAAGCCUGACGGAGCAACGCCGCGUGCGGGAUGACGGCCUGUGGGUUGUAAACCGCUUUUAACAGGGAAGAAGCUCUGACGGUACCUGUUGAAUCAGCAUCGGCUAACUCCGUGCCAGCAGCCGCGGUAAUACGGAGGAUGCAAGCGUUAUCCGGAAUUAUUGGGCGUAAAGCGUCCGCAGGUGGCUUUUCAAGUCUGCUGUCAAAGACCAGAGCUCAACUCUGGGCAGGCGGUGGAAACUGGGAAGCUAGAGUACGGUAGGGGUAGAGGGAAUUCCCAGUGUAGCGGUGAAAUGCGUAGAGAUUGGGAAGAACACCAGUGGCGAAGGCGCUCUACUGGACCUGUACUGACACUCAGGGACGAAAGCUAGGGGAGCGAAAGGGAUUAGAUACCCCCGUAGUCC